UACAGAGGUCUCAAGCGUUGUUCGGAUUCAUUGGGCGUAAAGGGUGCGCAGGCGGCGCGGUAAGUCGGGUGUGAAAUCUCGGAGCUUAACUCCGAAACUGCAUUCGAUACUGCCGUGCUUGAGGACUGGAGAGGAGACUGGAAUUUACGGUGUAGCGGUGAAAUGCGUAGAUAUCGCAAGGAAGACCAGUGGCGAAGGCGGGUCUCUGGACAGUUCCUGACGCUGAGGCACGAAGGCCAGGGGAGCAAACGGG
rnacentral:rRNA from 1 species